rnacentral:lncRNA from 1 species
GCUACUCCAGAUUUCUUUUGAUUUCCAUUUGCAUGGAAUACCUUUUUCCAUCCCCUCACUUUCAGUCUGUAUGUGUCCCUAGAUCUGAAGUGGGUCUCUUGUAGAUAGCAAAUAUAUGGGUCUUGUUUUUGUAUCUACUCACCCAGUCUAUGUCUUUUGGUUGGAGCAUUUAAUCCAUUUAUGUUUAAGGUAAUUAUUGAUAAUGUAUGUUCUUAUUGCCAUUUUGUUAGUUGUUUUGGAUUUGUUUUUGUAGGUCCUUUUUCUUCCCUUUCUCUUUUGUUCUCUUGUGAUUUGUUGACUAACUUUAGUGUUGUGUUUGGAUUCCUUUUGUGUGUGUGUGGUAUCUAUUAUAGAUUUUUGGUUUGCAGUUACCAUGAGGAUUUGAUAUAGCAGUCUGUAUGUAAGGAAGAUUUGUUAAGUUGCUGGUCUUUUAAUUUCAGAUGCAUUUCCAAUAUCCUGCAUUUGUGCUCUCCUCACAAUUGCUGAUUUUGAUAUUAAAUUUGUGUGCAGAUGAUUUCCUACCUUUACUGUAUGUUUACCUUUACCAGUGAGCUUUUCCAUUUGUAACUUUUUGGUUUCUAGUUGUGGCCUUUUCUUUUCCACCUAGAGAAGUUCCUUUAGCCUUUGUUGCAAAGCUUUUCUGGUGGUGCUGAAUUCUGUUAGCUUUUGCUUGUCUUUAAAGCUUUUGAUUUCUCUGUUGAAUCUAAAUGAGAGCCUUGCUGGGUAGAGUAUUCUUGGUUGUAGGUUCUUCCCUUUGAUCACUUUAAAUAUAUCAUGCCACUCCCUUCUGACGUGCAGAGUUUCUGCUUAGAAAUCAGCUGAAAACCUUAUGGGAGUUCCCUUGUACAUUAUUUGUUGCUUUUCCUUUGUUGCUUUUAAUAUUUUUACUUUGUCUUUAAUUUUUGUCAAUUUGAUUACUAUGUGUCCUGGCAUGUUCCUCCUUGGGCUUAUCUUGCCUGGGACUCUCUGCACUUCCUGGACUUGGGUGACUAUUUCCUUUUCCAUGUUAGGGAAGUUUUCAGCUAUUAUCUCUUUGAAUAUUUUCUCAGGUCCUUUCUCUCUCCUCCUUCUGGGACCCCUAUAAUGUGAAUGUUGGUGCAUUAGAUGUUGUCCCAGAGAUCUCUUAGACUGUCUUCAUUUCUUUUCAUUCUUUUUUCUUUAUUCUAUUCCACCACAGUGAAAUCCACCAUUCUGUCUUCCAGCUCACUUAUCUGUUCUUCUGCCUCAGUUAUUCUGCUACUGAUUCCUUCUAGUGUAUUUUUCAUUUCAGUUAUUGUAUUGUUCAUCUCUGUUGUUUGUUCUUUAGUUCUUCUAGGUCUUUGUUAAACAUUUCUUGUAUCUUCUUGAUCUGUGCCUCCAUUCUUUUCCCAAGAUUGUGGAUCAUCUUUAUUACCACUACUGUGAAUUCUUUUUCAGGUAGAUUGCCUAUCUCCACUUCCCUUAGUUGUUCUUCUGGAGUGUUAUCUUGUUCCUUCAUCUGGAACAUAUUCCUCUACCAUCUCAUUUUGCCUAACUUUCUGUGAUUGCAGUUUCCUCCACAGGCUGCAGGGUUGCAGCUUUUCUUGCUUCUUCUGUCUGCCCCCUGGUGGAUGAGGCUGUCUAAGAGGCUUGUGCAGGCUUCCUGGUGGGAGAGACUGGUACUUGCCCACUGGUGGGUGGAGCUUGGUCUUGUCCCUCUGGCAGGCAGGGAUGUGUCAGGGGGUGUGGCUUAUUGGACAGCGGUGUGUUCAGGAAGACUUUAAGCAGUCUGUCUGCUGUUGGGUGGGCCUGUGUUCCCACCCUGUUGGUUGUUUGGCCUGAAGCAUCCCAUCACUGGAGCCUACCGGCUGUAGAGUGGAGCCAGGUGUUGGUGAGAAAAUGGCAGCCUCCAAGAGGGCUCACACCAAUGAGUACUCCACAGAACUGCUACUGCCAGUGUCCUUGUCCCUGCAGUGAGCCAGAGCUGCGCCCCCCACCUCCACAGGAGACCCUCCAAUACUAGGUAUCUUCAGCACUUUUUUGUUGAUGGUUGUUCAGCAGUUAGCUGUGAUUUUGGUGUUCCCAUAAGACGAGGUUAGUAUUGUGGGUGGUUCCUUCCAAACACCCAGGAAGAGAAUACGUCAAGAUGAAGAAGAGGUAUUUAGGAAGUCAUUUGAAUUAACAAAAAGCCAUGCUUUUUGUUUUUCUUCCCUACGAUAUUGAGAUGGUCUAUCUGAUUUCCCUUAGCUGAGUAGAAAAUGUCGUGCCCAGUCCAGAACACCAGAAACAUACAGGAACUUUGAAUUUUAGCUGUGUUUACAGGAACUCUCAGAUUCAAUCACCUAACAGGAGUCACCCACUGAGCCCCCAGCACUGAAUGAGAGAGGACACUCCGUCCCAGGAAAAAGAGCAGAGAAAGAGCCGUGAAAGAGCAAGAAGAAGGGACAAUAAGACAUCAUCGUAGCAUAUGGAAGGAACCCAAACUCUGUGACCCAACUUUCCAGGUGCCAAAAAGGAGCCUAUGUUCAGAAGGGAGUGUUGAGGUGUCACUGGAGUGUGUGGGGGGAGACUCCAUCGGUCACCCAGGACUGAUCCGGUCAAACCCCUGUGGCUCCAGACACUUGGAACCAUUAUCAGAACGUCAGGUCAGUCCAGCACUGUGUUCAUGAUGCCAAGCACAGCAUCCACUGCAGCAUCCCUCUUCUCCCUUUCUGGAGAGCAAAACUGUGACAGACAGCAUGGGGGUGUCAAGGUGGAGGGCACGCUGCAAACUGACAACCUGAACACCACUUGGGGCCAGUUCAGGUUCCUGGUGGCCUCCACUCACCCUUCCUCCACUGAGCACUUUGUAAUUCUCAAAGCAGUGUUUAGAUUUGUAAGGUGUCAUGGACCAUUUCCUCCUCAGUUAAUGUUUCUGGAAAAGAUGGAAAUAAAGAUCUUUGUUCUUUG